AUUGUGAGCUCGAUGAGUAGGGCGGGACACGUGGUAUCCUGUCUGAAUAUGGGGGGACCAUCCUCCAAGGCUAAAUACUCCUGACUGACCGAUAGUGAACCAGUACCGUGAGGGAAAGGCGAAAAGAACCCCGGCGAGGGGAGUGAAAAAGAACCUGAAACCGUGUACGUACAAGCAGUGGGAGCCUCUUAAUGGGGUGACUGCGUACCUUUUGUAUAAUGGGUCAGCGACUUAUAUUCUGUAGCAAGGUUAACCGAAUAGGGGAGCCGAAGGGAAACCGAGUCUUAACUGGGCGUUAAGUUGCAGGGUAUAGACCCGAAACCCGGUGAUCUAGCCAUGGGCAGGUUGAAGGUUGGGUAACACUAACUGGAGGACCGAACCGACUAAUGUUGAAAAAUUAGCGGAUGACUUGUGGCUGGGGGUGAAAGGCCAAUCAAACCGGGAGAUAGCUGGUUCUCCCCGAAAGCUAUUUAGGUAGCGCCUCGUGAAUUCAUCUCCGGGGGUAGAGCACUGUUUCGGCAAGGGGGUCAUCCCGACUUACCAACCCGAUGCAAACUGCGAAUACCGGAGAAUGUUAUCACGGGAGACACACGGCGGGUGCUAACGUCCGUCGUGAAGAGGGAAACAACCCAGACCGCCAGCUAAGGUCCCAAAGUCAUGGUUAAGUGGGAAACGAUGUGGGAAGGCCCAGACAGCCAGGAUGUUGGCUUAGAAGCAGCCAUCAUUUAAAGAAAGCGUAAUAGCUCACUGGUCGAGUCGGCCUGCGCGGAAGAUGUAACGGGGCUAAACCAUGCACCGAAGCUGCGGCAGCGACACUAUGUGUUGUUGGGUAGGGGAGCGUUCUGUAAGCCUGUGAAGGUGGCCUGUGAGGGGUGCUGGAGGUAUCAGAAGUGCGAAUGCUGACAUAAGUAACGAUAAAGCGGGUGAAAAGCCCGCUCGCCGGAAGACCAAGGGUUCCUGUCCAACGUUAAUCGGGGCAGGGUGAGUCGACUCCUAAGGCGAGGCCGAAAGGCGUAGUCGAUGGGAAACAGGUUAAUAUUCCUGUACUUGGUGUUACUGCGAAGGGGGGACGGAGAAGGCUAUGUUGGCCGGGCGACGGUUGUCCCGGUUUAAGCGUGUAGGCUGGUUUUCCAGGCAAAUCCGGAAAACCAAGGCUGAGGCGUGAUGACGAGGCACUACGGUGCUGAAGUGACAAAUGCCCUGCUUCCAGGAAAAGCCUCUAAGCAUCAGGUAACAUCAAAUCGUACCCCAAACCGACACAGGUGGUCAGGUAGAGAAUACCAAGGCGCUUGAGAGAACUCGGGUGAAGGAACUAGGCAAAAUGGUGCCGUAACUUCGGGAGAAGGCACGCUGAUAUGUAGGUGAAGCGACUUGCUCGUGGAGCUGAAAUCAGUCGAAGAUACCAGCUGGCUGCAACUGUUUAUUAAAAACACAGCACUGUGCAAACACGAAAGUGGACGUAUACGGUGUGACGCCUGCCCGGUGCCGGAAGGUUAAUUGAUGGGGUUAGCGGUAACGCGAAGCUCUUGAUCGAAGCCCCGGUAAACGGCGGCCGUAACUAUAACGGUCCUAAGGUAGCGAAAUUCCUUGUCGGGUAAGUUCCGACCUGCACGAAUGGCGUAAUGAUGGCCAGGCUGUCUCCACCCGAGACUCAGUGAAAUUGAACUCGCUGUGAAGAUGCAGUGUACCCGCGGCAAGACGGAAAGACCCCGUGAACCUUUACUAUAGCUUGACACUGAACAUUGAGCCUUGAUGUGUAGGAUAGGUGGGAGGCUUUGAAGUGUGGACGCCAGUCUGCAUGGAGCCGACCUUGAAAUACCACCCUUUAAUGUUUGAUGUUCUAACGUUGGCCCGUAAUCCGGGUUGCGGACAGUGUCUGGUGGGUAGUUUGACUGGGGCGGUCUCCUCCUAAAGAGUAACGGAGGAGCACGAAGGUUGGCUAAUCCUGGUCGGACAUCAGGAGGUUAGUGCAAUGGCAUAAGCCAGCUUGACUGCGAGCGUGACGGCGCGAGCAGGUGCGAAAGCAGGUCAUAGUGAUCCGGUGGUUCUGAAUGGAAGGGCCAUCGCUCAACGGAUAAAAGGUACUCCGGGGAUAACAGGCUGAUACCGCCCAAGAGUUCAUAUCGACGGCGGUGUUUGGCACCUCGAUGUCGGCUCAUCACAUCCUGGGGCUGAAGUAGGUCCCAAGGGUAUGGCUGUUCGCCAUUUAAAGUGGUACGCGAGCUGGGUUUAGAACGUCGUGAGACAGUUCGGUCCCUAUCUGCCGUGGGCGCUGGAGAACUGAGGGGGGCUGCUCCUAGUACGAGAGGACCGGAGUGGACGCAUCACUGGUGUUCGGGUUGUCAUGCCAAUGGCACUGCCCGGUAGCUAAAUGCGGAAGAGAUAAGUGCUGAAAGCAUCUAAGCACGAAACUUGCCCCGAGAUGAGUUCUCCCUGAGACUUAGAGUCUCCUGAAGGAACGUUGAAGACGACGACGUUGAUAGGCCGGGUGUGUAAGCGCAGCGAUGCGUUGAGCUAACCGGUACUAAUGAACCGUGAGGCUUAACCUUACAACGCCGAAG
rnacentral:rRNA from 1 species